rnacentral:lncRNA from 1 species
UGGUGUGGGGGACGUAGAACUCAGGACUCCUCCUGAGGGUGGGAGCCUUUGUGGCGACUGGAGGGAUUCCAUUGUGCCACUAGAGCUGAAGAGGAAGGGGUGUCCCUCCUGUGUGCACUGGGGUCCAAGCCUGGGACCCUCUCUCUCUAUGCAUUCCCUGUCAUCAGUUUUCCAGGAAUCCUGGAGGCUCCCCCUGUCUUCCCCCACCCACCAGGAUCAAGGUUUGUGGGGAAUGUUCUCCCGCAGAACUCGGCAUGAAAUAAAUUCCAUUCUUACUCUGCCAAUGACACUGCACAUAAAUAUUCAGUAAAUUAGCAGCACACUUUUAUAGAUUUAUCAGUCAUUGCAGGCACAAAAUGACAGGCAAUGUUGUAGCUGAAAUAUUAAUGCUGACAAAUUAAUGAUUUCUGAGUAAAUGAUGUCAUUUUUGCACCGUUUCAUUAAAAUUUACUCACUUCUGCUUCAUUUCUGGACCUAAAAAAAAUUAAAAUCAUUUCUU